AGACAGACAGAGACAGAGACAGGGACAGGGACAGAGAGAGACAGAGAGAGACAGAGGAGAACUGAAGGGGAGAUUUGACCUCCCUGAUAUGGACUACAUGAGGGAGGACACAAAGGUCAAACAGCAGCACUUGAUCUCUUCCUGGUGCGUCCUCCACAGACUCCUCCCCUGGUUUAUCAGAGACUCUGAAUCUGUUCAGACCGAUCCUUUUCUAAGCUUUGUAUCUCUGGAGUCUCAAACAUGAACCAAACAAAGACCCUGAAGCUGGACCAGCAUCGUGUUUUCAGACCUGUGAGGGGGAUCAUUAUGAGACUUGUUGAACUCUAAUAUUAUAACAUGAAGUUAACUCUGUGUGACGUUAGAGAGGACUGAGAUCCAGACCACGCUUCUGUCCAGCAGAGUCCACGAGGAUCUGUUCGUCACUGUAAGAGUUCAAAAAGUGUCUUUCUAUGAAUUCAGACGUAUUUAUUUUAUAUCCUGAACAUUUUAACUUUAUACAUCAAGUGUUCUAAACAUGGUAGAGUUUACUCAGAGACCUCACACACCGUGUUUAAUUCAUGGACUGUUUAUAAAAAGGGGACAUCACACCGUGGUUUGUGGACGGCUGGUUUUGAAGCCUCAAGUUUGACACGUUGGAGGCAGCCAUCUUUGUUUUGGAGUCAAAAGUGACCAUAUCUGGACCAGGGGUCAGAGGUGAAGAGGAGUGAGGUGGUUAUCAGUGAAUUACAAUAACCAGAAUAAAUUAAAAUGCUUAUUUUGUCAAUUAAAAAAGAGUCUUUAAACUAAAUUUAAUAACUAACUAAAACAAUCAGAAGACUUCUCUGUGUCUUUAAGAACAACAUGUUUUAGGUCCCUGUGGUGUCACUCUUCAAUCUCAGGUCGCCCAGCCUCAAACCAUACCCUGCUCUAUCGUGGACUUGUCUCUAAAGGGGACCAUUAUUUUAAAAUCAGACGUCAUGCAGUAUAAAGGAAUAUUUGGGACUUCUGAUUAAAACCAUGAACUCAAGUGGAGAUAGAAAUGAGCUCAUUUCCUCUUAGACCUCUCUGCAGGAGGACUUCUUCAUGCAUGAAUGAUGUCGCCCCCUGCUGGUCACUAAAAAGAAUACAGGCUGCUUCCUUCACAUCAGACCAGGAGGGAGGCUCAGUCUACUUUCUGAACAGUCAUUUCCUUUAAACACAGAGGAGACAUCUUUAAACACUGUCCUGGUGAGGGAGGGCGACUCUGCCUUAAAGUGAAAUUAAAGGUCAAUAUUCUAAAAUAUAGAAAUUUCUGGCAGUAAAAAUAUAAAAGCUGCCAGUUUAUAAAUCCCCUUAAAUAAUCUUAAACACUCCUAACAUUGUUUUUGUUGUUUCAGAGUAAUUGGCAGCUACUGGAUUAUUAAAAAACAAAAUAAAGGCAAUAAAAGAAAUCAAAUAUUUAUGAACACCAUCACUACAACUAUAAUUUAAUAAUCCAUUAAAAGAUCAUUCGUUGACAGUUCUCAACUCUUUCUGAUCAUUCUUAAAUAAAAAUGUUAAAUUUGUCAUUUUCAGAUUUUUAAAAGUUUUGCUUUUUGUUGAAAAGUUCUGGAUUUGCUUGUUGGAGGACUUUUAAAGAUUUUUGAACAAAUUAAUAUUUUAAAGAUGACAGGAUUGAUCAGUUGAAUUUUUAAGAAUGCAGAUUAUUAAUAUCUAACAUAGUUAAUCUUUUUUUAUCCUCCUUUUCAACAUGAACUUAAUAUUUUGUGUCCGGUUGUCUCAGAGCUGUUUCAGCUCUCAUGUCUGAUCAUUUCAAAGUUUAUCUUUGUGAUAUUUAAAAUAAUCUAUUUGAUAAACAGAAGUUAUCCCUGUAGUUCUUCUCUCAUUCAGCUCAGUGUGUGUCUGUGUUUCUAAACUGUUCAUGAAGCUACAACAAACAAGUGUUGAUGGAAAGGGAAGAGACGCGUGUUCACGUCUCUCUGUCUCUCUGUCUCUCUGUUCGUCUGGACACUAAAUAUUUUUUGAUAUUCAUUUUAGCCAAAUUAGUAUUUAAAUUAGACUUAUCUAAAUAUGUAUAUUGUACACUAGAGGUAUAUACAGGAGCAGAUAUUCAACCAAAGUCUUUGUACAGAUUCUCCUCAGAUAUUUUCACAAACUUUAAAAACAGCAGAACUUUCCUUUAACUGUAAAUCAUGAGAGAAUCUGAUCUGAUGUUCUGACCUUCAGCGUGUGGAGAAAACAUUAAAGCAUGACACAGCUCUAUCUUUAAA